rnacentral:misc_RNA from 1 species
UUAAGUUCAGCGGGUAUCCCUACCUGAUCCGAGGUCAACCUGAGAAAGUGAGCCGCGAGGCCCGGUUUGUCCGGCAGGUGAAGCCCAACUCAGAAGCGAAUGAAAAUUCUACCACGCUUAGAGAAAGGCACCACCGCCGAUAGCUUUGAGGCACGCCGGAGAAGACUCCCCGGCGACGCCCAAUACCAAGCAGAGCUUGA